AGGUGAUGAUUUAGUUGAUGAUAUAUUACAAACUCUUUUAUAAUUAUCAUCUUACUUUGGUCAAAGACUUCUAGAAUCAUCAUCCUAUGAGAUCACAUUGGAUAUUCGCUCUCCUUAUUAGGAGUGACUGAUCUCUUAUUGAUCACUCACAACCUUCAUGCACACUUCACCAUAUCUAGAACACCCCACAUAAGGAUCAAAGAAUCAAGUUAGGUAGUGAACC
rnacentral:lncRNA from 1 species